GACGUAGGAUGCAAGCGUUGUCCGGAUUUAUUGGGCGUAAAGAGUUCGUAGGUGGUUCGUUAAGUCUGAUGUUAAAGACUGGGGCUCAACCCUGGGAGUGCAUUGGAUACUGGCGGACUGGAGUGCAGUAGAGGCAAGCGGAAUUCCCAGUGUAGCGGUGAAAUGCGUAGAUAUCAGGAGGAACACCGAUGGCGAAGGCAGGUCUCUGGGCAUUAACUGACGCUCAUGCACGAAAGCGUGGGGAGCAAACAGG
rnacentral:rRNA from 1 species